rnacentral:lncRNA from 1 species
CUGUUCUUCAAGUCUUGGCAUGUUUUUUUUUGUCAGUGAUUAUGGUAUUUUCAUUAACAUUGCCACUGUCAUGGGGCCAACACCUCCAGGAACUAGAGUGAUAUAACUGGCUUUUUGCAUAACUCCUUUAAAAUCCACAUUUCUAACAACUUAGGUUUAGCAGUUACAAGACCUUGAACUAUAUCUAUUCCCACAUCAAUAACUAUUGCUCCUUCCUUGAUCAUAUUUGCUGUGAUCAGAUUUGGAAUGCCUGCAGUUGUCCCGACCUGCUGGACGAGCAACGCAGACCCUAGGGAGGGAGUGGGGAUUAAGAGAGAGACAGGAGACGCGAAGAAUGGAGACAAGUCAAAGAUCUGAUCAAGUCUCGUUUAUUAGGUACAAAGCAGCUGCUUAUAAGCAAGCAAAGGCGGGAAGCUCUGAGUUCUGACAUCAGAAAGUAAUCAUGAAGACAAGGCUGCAGGCUGGCCUCCUAAGAAGAAUGUGAAACUUAGAUAAGAGAAGCAGAAGCUUGAGCAACAAGAUCACAAGACGGCUAUCAUGACGCUCAAGAUGGCCACUGCUCCCUACAUGCAAUGAAUAUUACAAUAUCUGCAAGAAUUGUAUGUUUCUUCAACUCCUCUUUGGGAGUAUAUCAAUGAGAUAUUGUAACAGUGGCAUCACCUCUGUGAUGUUCAUGUACCCCAUCUGUGUGCAGUGAUAUUGCAAUGGGCAUUCCAACAAAUUUUUUGACCUUCCAGCCGCAACCAUAUUCUUUCCUAGGGUUGGAAUGCCAGUUUGCUUAAUUAUUUCCCAGACACCCCAUGGAGUGGCUGAUGUGCUAUAGCGGUCCUAGAGUUAGAACCAGAGCAAUGCCAUUUUAUACAAGACAAAAACUGUUUUCCAAAAAUAAGUUAUAACGGCUGACCCCCUCUCCUCGCACUAACUGCUGUUCUUGGCUUCUGUAAAUAAAACCUGCUAGCUUGCUCUAAAAUGACCAGCCUUUGCUUAUCAGUAGUUACCAGAAUUACUUCUGCUUAUCCGCAAGUAUUGAAAAGAUGCUUGCCCUGCAUCCCCUCACCCUGAACCCAGGAUGUGGUUUUUCAGCUUAAAUACCCUGCCCC